rnacentral:rRNA from 1 species
GGUUGUGAUCAUACCAACACUAAUGCACCGGAUCCCAUCAGAACUCCGCAGUUAAGCGUGCUUGGGCGAGAGUAGUACUAGGAUGGGUGACCCCCUGGGAAGUCCUCGUGUUGCAACCC